rnacentral:rRNA from 1 species
GACAGAGGAUGCAAGCGUUAUCCGGAAUGAUUGGGCGUAAAGCGUCUGUAGGUGGCUUUUAAGUCCGCCGUCAAAUCCCAGGGCUCAACCUUGGACAGGCGGUGGAAACUACCAAGCUGGAGUACGGUAGGGGCAGAGGGAAUUUCCGGUGGAGCGGUGAAAUGCGUAGAAAUCGGAAAGAACACCAACGGCGAAAGCGACUCUGCUGGGCCGACACUGACACUGAGAGACGAAAGCUAGGGGAGCGAAUGGG